UACGGGGGGGGCAAGCGUUGUUCGGAAUUACUGGGCGUAAAGGGCGCGUAGGCGGCCUGCUAAGUCGAACGUGAAAUCCCUGGGCUCAACCCAGGAACUGCGUCCGAUACUGGUUGGCUUGAAUCCGGGAGAGGGACGUGGAAUUCCAGGUGUAGCGGUGAAAUGCGUAGAUAUCGUAAGGAAGACCAGUGGCGAAGGCGGGUCUCUGGACAGUUCCUGACGCUGAGGCACGAAGGUCAGGGGAGCAAACGGG
rnacentral:rRNA from 1 species